rnacentral:rRNA from 1 species
AGUGAACGCUGGCGGUAGGCCUAACACAUGCAAGUCGAACGGCAGCACAGAGGAGCUUGCUCCUUGGGUGGCGAGUGGCGGACGGGUGAGGAAUACAUCGGAAUCUACUUUUUCGUGGGGGAUAACGUAGGGAAACUUACGCUAAUACCGCAUACGACCUACGGGUGAAAGCAGGGGAUCUUCGGACCUUGCGCGAUUGAAUGAGCCGAUGUCGGAUUAACUAGUUGGCGGGGUAAAGGCCCACCAAGGCGACGAUCCGUAGCUGGUCUGAGAGGAUGAUCAGCCACACUGGAACUGAGACACGGUCCAGACUCCUACGGGAGGCAGCAGUGGGGAAUAUUGGACAAUGGGCGCAAGCCUGAUCCAGCCAUACCGCGUGGGUGAAGAAGGCCUUCGGGUUGUAAAGCCCUUUUGUUGGGAAAGAAAUCCAGCUGGUUAAUACCCGGUUGGGAUGACGGUACCCAAAGAAUAAGCACCGGCUAACUUCGUGCCAGCAGCCGCAGUAA